CCUACGGGAGGCAGCAGUGGGGAAUAUUGCACAAUGGGCGCAAGCCUGAUGCAGCCAUGCCGCGUGUGUGAAGAAGGCCUUCGGGUUGUAAAGCACUUUCAGCGGGGAGGAAGGCGUUAAGGUUAAUAACCUUGGCGAUUGACGUUACCCGCAGAAGAAGCACCGGCUAACUCCGUGCCAGCAGCCGCGGUAAUACGGAGGGUGCAAGCGUUAAUCGGAAUUACUGGGCGUAAAGCGCACGCAGGCGGUCUGUCAAGUCGGAUGUGAAAUCCCCGGGCUCAACCUGGGAACUGCAUUCGAAACUGGCAGGCUAGAGUCUUGUAGAGGGGGGUAGAAUGCCAGGUGUAGCGGUGAAAUGCGUAGAGAUCUGGCGGAAUACCGGUGGCGAAGGCGGCCCCCUGGACAAAGACUGACGCUCAGGUGCGAAAGCGUGGGGAGCAAACAGGAUUAGAUACCCGGGUAGUC
rnacentral:rRNA from 1 species